rnacentral:rRNA from 1 species
GUCAGAUUGAACGCUGGCGGCAGGCCUACACAUGCAAGUCGAACGGUAACAGGAAGCAGCUUGCUGCUUCGCUGACGAGUGGCGGACGGGUGAGUAAUGUCUGGGAAACUGCCUGAUGGAGGGGGAUAACUACUGGAAACGGUAGCUAAUACCGCAUAACGUCGCAAGACCAAAGAGGGGGACCUUCGGGCCUCUUGCCAUCGGAUGUGCCCAGAUGGGAUUAGCUUGUUGGUGGGGUAACGGCUCACCAAGGCGACGAUCCCUAGCUGGUCUGAGAGGAUGACCAGCCACACUGGAACUGAGACACGGUCCAGACUCCUACGGGAGGCAGCAGUGGGGAAUAUUGCACAAUGGGCGCAAGCCUGAUGCAGCCAUGCCGCGUGUAUGAAGAAGGCCUUCGGGUUGUAAAGUACUUUCAGCGGGGAGGAAGGGAGUAAAGUUAAUACCUUUGCUCAUUGACGUUACCCGCAGAAGAAGCACCGGCUAACUCCGUGCCAGCAGCCGCGGUAAUACGGAGGGUGCAAGCGUUAAUCGGAAUUACUGGGCGUAAAGCGCACGCAGGCGGUUUGUUAAGUCAGAUGUGAAAUCCCCGGGCUCAACCUGGGAACUGCAUCUGAUACUGGCAAGCUUGAGUCUCGUAGAGGGGGGUAGAAUUCCAGGUGUAGCGGUGAAAUGCGUAGAGAUCUGGAGGAAUACCGGUGGCGAAGGCGGCCCCCUGGACGAAGACUGACGCUCAGGUGCGAAAGCGUGGGGAGCAAACAGGAUA